GACGAACGCUGGCGGCGUGCUUAACACAUGCAAGUCGAACGGAAAGGCCCUGCUUUUGUGGGGUGCUCGAGUGGCGAACGGGUGAGUAACACGUGAGUAACCUGCCCUUGACUUUGGGAUAACUUCAGGAAACUGGGGCUAAUACCGGAUAGGAGCUCCUGCUGCAUGGUGGGGGUUGGAAAGUUUCGGCGGUUGGGGAUGGACUCGCGGCUUAUCAGCUUGUUGGUGGGGUAGUGGCUUACCAAGGAUUUGACGGGUAGCCGGCCUGAGAGGGGGACCGGGGACAUUGGGACUGAGAUACGGCCCAGACUCCUACGGGAGGCAGCAGGGGGGAAUAUGGCAGAACGGGCGGUAGCGUGAGGCAGCAAUGCCGCGUGCGAGAUGCCGGCUUACGGGGUGUAAACCGCUUUCGCAUGUGACGAAGCGUGAGUGACGGUAAUGGGUAAAGAAGCACCGGCUAACUACGUG
rnacentral:rRNA from 1 species